AUCCGGUCAUGUCUAGUAUAAGCAAUUAUACAGCGAAACUGCGAAUGGCUCAUUAUAUAAGUUAUCGUUUAUUUGAUAGUACCUUACUACUUGGAUAACCGUGGUAAUUCUAGAGCUAAUACAUGCUAAAAAUCCCGACUUCGGAAGGGAUGUAUUUAUUAGAUUAAAAACCAAUGCCCUCUGGGCUCUCUGGUGAUUCAUGAUAACUUCUCGAAUCGCAUGGCCUUGCGCCGGCGAUGGUUCAUUCAAAUUUCUUCCCUAUCAACUUUCGAUGUUUGGGUAUUGGCCAAACAUGGUCGCAACGGGUAACGGAGGGUUAGGGCUCGACCCCGGAGAAGGAGCCUGAGAAACGGCUACUACAUCCAAGGAAGGCAGCAGGCGCGCAAAUUACCCAAUCCCGACACGGGGAGGUAGUGACAAUAAAUACUGAUACAGGGCUCUUUCGGGUCUUGUAAUUGGAAUGAGUACAAUUUAAAUCCCUUAACGAGGAACAAUUGGAGGGCAAGUCUGGUGCCAGCAGCCGCGGUAAUUCCAGCUCCAAUAGCGUAUAUUAAAGUUGUUGUGGUUAAAAAGCUCGUAGUUGAACCUUGGGCCUGGCUGGCCGGUCCGCCUCACCGCGUGUACUGGUCCGGCCGGGCCUUUCCCUCUGUGGAACCUCAUGCCCUUCACUGGGCGUGACGGGGAAACAGGACUUUUACUGUGAAAAAAUUAGAGUGCUCCAGGCAGGCCUAUGCUCGAAUACAUUAGCAUGGAAUAAUGAAAUAGGACGUGCGGUUCUAUUUUGUUGGUUUCUAGGACCGCCGUAAUUGAUUAAUAGGGACAGUCGGGGGCAUCAGUAUUCAAUUGUCAGAGGUGAAAUUCUUGGAUUUAUUGAAGACUAACUACUGCGAAAAGCAUUUUGCCAAGGAUGUUUUCAUUAAUCAGAACCGAAAGUUAGGGGAUCGAAGACGAUCAGAUACCGUCGUAAUCUUAACAUAAACUAUGCUGAACUAAGGGAUCGGGACGAUGGUAAAUAAUUAGACUCGAUCGUCACCCUUAACG
rnacentral:rRNA from 1 species